rnacentral:rRNA from 1 species
UACGUAGGGUCCGAGCGUUGUCCGGAAUUACUGGGCGUAAAGCGUGCGCAGGCGGUGAUGUAAGACCGAUGUGAAAUCCCCGGGCUUAACCUGGGAACUGCAUUGGUGACUGCAUCGCUCGAGUAUGGCAGAGGGGGGUAGAAUUCCACGUGUAGCAGUGAAAUGCGUAGAGAUGUGGAGGAAUACCGAUGGCGAAGGCAGCCCCCUGGGUCAAUACUGACGCUCAUGCACGAAAGCGUGGGGAGCAAACAGG